UACGUAGGGGGCUAGCGUUGCUCGGAAUCACUGGGCGUAAAGCGCACGUAGGCGGCUUCUUAAGUCGGGGGUGAAAUCCUGGAGCUCAACUCCAGAACUGCCUUCGAUACUGAGGAGCUUGAGUCCGGGAGAGGUGAGUGGAACUGCGAGUGUAGAGGUGAAAUUCGUAGAUAUUCGCAAGAACACCAGUGGCGAAGGCGGCUCACUGGCCCGGUACUGACGCUGAGGUGCGAAAGCGUGGGGAGCAAACAGG
rnacentral:rRNA from 1 species